AUUGAACGCGACGAGAGGCGGCUUACAGAAUUGGGACGUAGGACUGUGGAAAUAUUUGUCCUUGCCCAUAUAUUUAGUAAAGUUGAAGUUGCCUAUCAGGAGGCUGUUGCAUUGAAGAGGCAAGAGGAACUCAUUCGUGAAGAAGAGGCAGCAUGGCAGGCUGAAAGUGAACAAAAGGCUAGGCGAUUAGCUUCAGAAAAGGAUA
rnacentral:misc_RNA from 1 species